GACAGAGGGUGCAAACGUUGUUCGGAAUUACUGGGCGUAAAGCGCGUGUAGGCUGCUCGACCAGUCGGGUGUGAAAGCCCUGGGCUCAACCCAGGAAGUGCAUUCGAUACUGCCGAGCUUGAGUCCUGGAGAGGAAGGCGGAAUUCUCGGUGUAGAGGUGAAAUUCGUAGAUAUCGAGAGGAACACCGGUGGCGAAGGCGGCCUUCUGGACAGUGACUGACGCUGAGACGCGAAAGCCAGGGGAGCGAACGGG
rnacentral:rRNA from 1 species